rnacentral:rRNA from 1 species
AGUGAACGCUGGCGGUAGGCCUAACACAUGCAAGUCGAACGGCGGCACAGUAAGAGCUUGCUCUUACGGGUGGCGAGUGGCGGACGGGUGAGGAAUACAUCGGAAUCUACUUUUUCGUGGGGGAUAACGGAGGGAAACUUACGCUAAUACCGCAUACGACCUACGGGUGAAAGCAGGGGAUCUUCGGACCUUGCGCGAUUGAAUGAGCCGAUGUCGGAUUAGCUAGUUGGCGGGGUAAAGGCCCACCAAGGCGACGAUCCGUAGCUGGUCUGAGAGGAUGAUCAGCCACACUGGAACUGAGACACGGUCCAGACUCCUACGGGAGGCAGCAGUGGGGAAUAUUGGACAAUGGGCGCAAGCCUGAUCCAGCCAUACCGCGUGGGUGAAGAAGGCCUUCGGGUUGUAAAGCCCUUUUGUUGGGAAAGAAAAGCAGCAGGUUAAUACCCCGCUGUUCUGACGGUACCCAAAGAAUAAGCACCGGCUAACUUCGUG